rnacentral:piRNA from 1 species
UGAUUUGGACUAUGACUUUCAGCGGGAUU